rnacentral:rRNA from 1 species
AUACGAAAGGUGCAAGCGUUGUUCGGAUUUACUGGGCGUAAAGAGAGUGUAGGUGGGUUAUUAAGUCGGAUGUGAAAUCCCGGGGCUCAACCUCGGAACUGCAUUCGAUACUGAUAGGCUAGAGUUUGGGAGGGGUAAGCGGAAUUCCGUGUGUAGCAGUGAAAUGCGUAGAUAUACGGAGGAACACCUGAGGCGAAGGCGGCUUACUGGACCAAUACUGACACUGAGACUCGAAAGCGUGGGUAGCAAACAGGAUUAGAAACCCUUGUAGUCC